CAAUAGCGUAUAUUAAAGUUGUUGCAGUUAAAAAGCUCGUAGUUGGAUUUGUGGCUGUCACGGGCGGCCUAUCACUUAGUGUUAGUGCUUGCCUGUGUCGCCAUCCUUGGGUGGAGCCCGUGUGGCAUUAGGUUGUCGUGCGGGGGAUGCCCAUCGUUUACUGUGAGAAAAUUAGAGUGUUCAAAGCAGGCUUAUGCCGUUGAAUAUGUUAGCAUGGAAUAAUAAGAUAGGACCUCGGUACUAUUUUGUUGGUUUGCGCACCGAGGUAAUGAUUAAUAGGGACAGUUGGGGGUACUCGUAUUUCAUUGUCAGAGGUGAAAUUCUUGGAUUUCUGAAAGACGAACUACUGCGAAAGCAUUUACCAAGGAUGUUUUCAUUAA
rnacentral:rRNA from 1 species